UUAGUGGCGAACGGGUGAGUAACACGUGGGCAAUCUGCCCUGCACUCUGGGACACGCCUUGCAAACGGGGUCUAAUACCGGAUGAUACCUGGGGGUGCAUGCUCCUGGGUUGAAAGCUCCGGCGGUGCAGGAUGAGCCCGCGGCCUAUCAGCUUGUUGGUGGGGUGAUGGCCUACCAAGGCGACAACGGGUAGCCGGCCUGAGAGGGCGACCGGCCACACUGGGACUGAGACACGGCCCAGACUCCUACGGGAGGCAGCAGUGGGGAAUAUUGCACAAUGGGCGAAAGCCUGAUGCAGCGACGCCGCGUGAGGGAUGACGGCCUUCGGGUUGUAAACCUCUUUCAGCAGGGAAGAA
rnacentral:rRNA from 1 species